ACGUCCUGACCAACACUAAAACACAACAGAACUAUGGUCAGAACGUGACAAUGGUAGUCUGGCCAAUGCUGCUGAAAAAGGUUUUUGAAGAACCACUUUCACUAUCUGGGGUACACGGAGAAAGUGCGAAUUAAAAGCGAGGGUCGACUUCUGUCUGAGGUCAGUUUCAUGAAGAAGGAUGAAAAGGUGAGGGCGUUCAAUACCAACUGGUAUCGAAAGUAUAGUUGGUUAACAGGGAGCCUUUCACCAAGUUGCCUGUAUUGCUGGCCUUGCCUGCGUUUUUGGGCAUGCAAGAAUUUGCUUUUAGAGGACACGACGAGAUGGACAUUUCCGCCGACGGGCAACUACAAGGACCUUGCAGAGCUAAGUCCCCUCCUGUUCCCUGAUUUAAGAGGUAAUGACUACUCUUCUCCACUUCCUUUGUCAACUUUCUCCUGACAUGAACUGAAGCCACGUCUCAUGUGCCUGCUCAUCCAUUGGCACAUUGAAUGUUCCCCUCCAAUUACUGCCAAACCUUCUAUCUGAAUGGACUGCUGACUAACUGGCUGGAGAAGAAAAUGAGGGAGGCCGACCAGCUCCAAGAGGUGUGUUAGGAGGGUCGAUGAGAUCAAGAAGAUCCAAAUCCUGAGGACCGGCAGCGUCCAGUGCUUAGCCCAGCAUGCUGGCGAGAGAACAGCCCUGAGUAUACGGUUAGAGACUGGCUUAAUGAAAUCUCCAUGACGGGCCGCUCUUCUCUUACGACCUUGGCUGGCCAAACCACCGCCUCUCACAGCCGGCGCUCCACCAGUUGUGGAGUACUUGCCUUACCGGUACCCCCACCUGGCUCCCAUUACCACCUGGAGUCUUACGACAGAGGAUGACGCCAAGUCUCCCAGCCCUGACUGGCCUCUCCGGUUGCCCUGUGAUCCCCGGUGUCCCAUGAAUGGCGAUGACCAAACCAUUGCCAUGGUCCAUUUCUCUGCUGAUGAUGAUGGAUCUCUGGCCUCUCCCAGCCCUGUAGAGUACUUCAGCCUGGCUCCCACCACUGAUGCCAACCUGAGAGAAUUAGCCAGGAAGCUCAUUCAGGCCCAGGGACAGGAAGUGGUGGUUGUGCAGGAGAAUGAAAUUAUGGGAAGGGGAAAGUAGUCAACCAACAGAGUUAGAAGGAACAGUAGUCAUCACUUUGGCUCUAAAACUUCAGGUGAUUAAUUUUAGAGAGGUGUAGUCAUUUAAAGCUUGUAUUUUAAUCUCUUGUUGACUUAAUUCAGGAAGGGAAAGGCAAGAAAAAGAAGCAAAGGCAGGUAAAAAGCUAGUAAAGGGAGUGGAAAAUAACAGCCAGAAAGAGAAAUAGGCUCCUCAGAAAAAGGCAAAAAGAGUCUGGGGACAUGGUGAGAGACAGCAGUGUGGUCCAGAGAAUAGGUUUAUACUGUCCUGUAGUUCUAGUGUAUGUUUUCACCCUUCAAGUGAUUCUUUUGUUUUUAACACAACCAUGUUUACAAGUCAUGUUCUUAUUCAAACGUAAUCAUAACUCUAACUACAGGUUUAUUCAGUGGCUGCUGCCUAAACCAAUGAAAACCUACCAUACUCACCUUCCUACAUACCCACCCCCACCUAACCAUUCAUCCAUUUAUUUACUUACCCACCUACCAACCAACCUAUCUACUUUAUUCUGUUUUGUCUGCUUAUUUGGGACAUAUUGUGAUUGUUUCAUAUUCUGAUUACAAUUUCAAAGUUAUCAUAUUAAGACAGUCACAGUUCAAUUGGGAAUCACAAAAACAAAAGUCUACACAGAAUGGAAUUUAUUGUGAAAGAAUUUCAAAUUACUGGAGUUAAAUUAGUUCUAAUAGUGGCACUCACGCACAGUGUGCUGCUUUCCAGGAUUAAUAGUGUGAAAUAUGAACAGUGUAUCUAUUAUGUCUCAAAGCUGUUCUUAGUAGUUUCCCCACACUAGUUUCCACUUCUAAGAGCAUUCAAAGGAGGUAAAAGCCAACAUCUAUGAGAAUGGUUGGCACAUGUUUUCAAAACAAUACAUUUAAAAUGUGAGCAAUGACUUGCCAGAUGACAUUGACCCAAGAAACCAAAAAGUGAACCUCUAUUUUGAAAUAUGAAGUGCUGUACUGGUAGUAUGGUGAAAAGCCACACACUACUCGUUAUCUCCCCUACCAUAUAGGGGGGGGAGAGGUCAAGGGUUGACGGAGCAGAGGACAGCUACUUCUCCCUAUACCGUAGGUCACGUGUCGGUCGCUGUGGAGCGAAGAGCAUGCUUCUGCCGCCACAUGUUGAACACCUACAGUAGGGAAACACAGAAACAAACUCUAGCUGUUGUAGCGGGGCACUGCCACUGACCUGCUUCAACCACAGUGAGGUUUGAUAUGCAGUAGCUGAUGGUUCAACCAGGUACAAUCAGAGCCUGUCACAACUCUGCAAAUAGAAGACUCUAGGUAGAACGACAGGAGAACCAAAGAACUCUAUACAUAUAGAGAUUUUAGUUGCCAUAAAAAAUGUCUAUGUUGUAAUAACUAUUAAAGCAUGAUGUUAGAUGGUUCCUCACCCUGGAAGUAGUCUAUGGGCCAGGAGAAACUGUAAUCCAUUGUUGUUUUCUUUAAACAGCCACCACAAGCGAUGGGGAAUGUUUUUUAAAUUUUUUAUGGCCAACUGAAUAUGGAGUUGAUUUGAAGUAACUUCAAGUGAUUUGGACAUAGUGAACUACUCCUUUAACAGGAAACAAAUUGACCUUUGGUAAAGUUAUAGGCUAACCAGAGAUUUUAAAUAAUGCUGACUUCGGUACAACUAUAGAAUAAGAAUGGCUAAUAAUAACUAGUCCUCUAUACAAAAAUACAUGGGAACUUGCUCUGUCUCACCUGCGCAAUGAGGGCUUGGUCCAGUUGCGCGGCAAAGGUCUCAGACACCCGGGUUCUGAUGUGUCUCUUCCUCCAUGUCAGCCACGCCCACUGCUGCAGUCGGUCAGUGUGCUGCAGAGAGGAGUGGUCACACAAACAAAGGAAACUGAAUUACUAUGCCUUACACACAGGUAGUAAUAUGCACUAUAAAAUAUGCAGUAAGCAUUCAUGACAACUUUAAAUGCAUAAAUAGUAACCAUUAAGUUAAGCAAAUACAUUAUAAAACAGAUGGCUCAUUUAAAAAGUGUCACUGUAACCUAAGGUGAAUCCUAAUAAGUCCACUUCUACAAGUGUCCCAACGAGCGGGACAGCACUUUGCUUUCUUACCAGGGUCUUGAGUAGGAGUGCAGCAGCGGUCUGGUCUCUCCAGCUGACCCACAACACCUGGGUGAGUCUCCUCCGAGCUCUUUUCAGCAGCACACCUAAACGCCACCGCCGUAGACACUCCCUUUGGAAGUGAGAGAGGCAAAGUACUUCUGUGAGAGGUGUAGAGAUCGUCUUUUACGCAACUGGACCUGAUGCAGGUGGAAAACAAAGACAAAUAGGACAUUACCUACUUACCUGCUACACAUCAUAAGGGUGACAGCAGGAUACCUCUUGGUGCCAGGUGUGGAGUGAUGAUCUCAGCAGACGACUCCUCUGCCUGGAUUUUGUUCUCUGGACCAGGUCACUUAAGAGAUUAUGGGACACGGUGCGCCUCCUCCAGACACUGAAAGCUGAUUGGGUCUGGUGGGUGCGUAGCCGUGACUCCGCCUUCUGAAAAGUUGACAGGCUCUCCGUCACUACCCUUCGCCAGACCCGAAAAGACCUAUACGGGACAAAAAAAGACAGCAACGAGAUUACCAAUUGGGAAGUAAAGGUCUUGACAUGCCCACAAUCAAAGAAUCCAGGGGCAAGCAAUGUGAUGUAUUACAACUUCAACUGUAAUGGGGCUAAAAAGUUACAGAUGACAUGCACUGUAUGUGAAGCCUACCUGAAGAGAAUGAUAUUUGGCCACUUGGAGGACAAUGGAAGCAGAUUCAAUAAAUACUUAAAGAGGG